rnacentral:rRNA from 1 species
UACGUAGGGUGCAAGCGUUGUCCGGAAUUAUUGGGCGUAAAGAGCUCGUAGGCGGCCAGGUAGGUCCGCUGUGAAAACUCGAGGCUCAACCUCGAGAUGUCGGCGGAAACCAUCUGGCUAGAGUCCGGAAGAGGAGAGUGGAAUUCCGGGUGUAGCGGUGGAAUGCGUAGAGAUCCGGAAGAACACCAGUGGCGAGGGCGGCCCGCUGGGCAGUGGCUGACGCUGAAGCGCGACAGCGUGGGGAGCA